UACGAAGGGGGGCUAGCGUUGCUCGGAAUGACUGGGCGUAAAGGGCGCGUAGGCGGUUUGUACAGUCAGAUGUGAAAUUCUUGGGCUCAACCUGGGGGCUGCAUUUGAUACGUAUGGACUGGAGUGCGGAAGAGGGUCGUGGAAUUCCCAGUGUAGAGGUGAAAUUCGUAGAUAUUGGGAAGAACACCAGUGGCGAAGGCGGCUCACUGGUCCGGUACUGACGCUGAGGUGCGAAAGCGUGGGGAGCAAACAGG
rnacentral:rRNA from 1 species